rnacentral:pre_miRNA from 1 species
AGUGGGAUUGCUGGGUCAAAUGGUGAUUCCAUCUGAGUUUUCUGAGGAAUCUCCAUAUUGCUUUCUAUAAUGGUAGCACCAAUUUUCAGUCCUACCAGCAAC